GAUGAACGCUAGCUACAGGCUUAACACAUGCAAGUCGAGGGGCAGCAUGGUCUUAGCUUGCUAAGGCCGAUGGCGACCGGCGCACGGGUGAGUAACACGUAUCCAACCUGCCGUCUACUCUUGGACAGCCUUCUGAAAGGAAGAUUAAUACAAGAUGGCAUCAUGAGUCCGCAUGUUCACAUGAUUAAAGGUAUUCCGGUAGACGAUGGGGAUGCGUUCCAUUAGAUAGUAGGCGGGGUAACGGCCCACCUAGUCUUCGAUGGAUAGGGGUUCUGAGAGGAAGGUCCCCCACAUGAGAACUGAGACACGGUCCAAACUCCUACGGGAGGCAGCAGUGAGGAAUAUUGGUCAAUGGGCGAGAGCCUGAACCAGCCAAGUAGAGUGAAGGAUGACUGCCCUAUGGGUUGUAAACUUCUUUUAGAAAGGAAUAAAGUCGGGUAUGGAUACCCGUUUGCAUGUACUUGAUGAAUAAGGAUCGGCUAACUCCGUG
rnacentral:rRNA from 1 species